AUACUUACCUGGCAAGGGAGACACCGUGAUCACGAAGGCGGUUCACCCAGGGCGAGGCUCAGCCAUUGCACUCCGGCUGUGCUGACCCCUGCGAAUUGCGCUCUCCCCUGAUCUUGAUGUUAAAAAUAAUGGAGGAAUGUGUUAAAUUCGGAGUUCCAUUGA
ensembl:snRNA U1 U1 spliceosomal RNA